CUUAGGAGAGUAGAAGGGCCAUCACUCAAUGGAUAAAAGUUACACUAGGAAUAACAAACAGAUCUUUCACAAGGGUUCACAUCGAUGGAAAGGUUUGGCACCUCAAUGUUGAUUCUUCACCACCUGGGGCUAUAUAUUCCAAGGGUUGAACUGUUCACCUAUUAAAGCAGCACAUGAGUUGGGUUAAGAACGUUGUAAGACAGUUUGAUCCAUAUCUAGUAUGGGUGUUAGAGCAUUGAGAGAACCUUUUCCUAGUAGAAGGGGACUAGGAAUGAUGCACCUCUAGUGUAUUAAUUAUCGUGCCCACGAUAAACGUUGAAUAGCCAAAGUAUGGAAUAGCCAAGUGUGGAACGAAUAACUCCUAAAAGCAUCUAAGUAGUAAGCUCACCCUAAGAUGAAUGUUCUCUUAUUCCGACUUUCCUAGAGCCCUUGGUAGCAUAGUCG
rnacentral:ncRNA from 1 species